rnacentral:rRNA from 1 species
CACGUAGGGCGCAAGCGUUGUCCGGAAUUAUUGGGCGUAAAGAGCUCGUAGGCGGUCUGUUGCGUCCGCUGUGAAAACUCAGGGCUUAACCCUGAGCUUGCAGUGGGUACGGGCAGACUAGAGUGCGGUAGGGGAGACUGGAAUUCCUGGUGUAGCGGUGAAAUGCGCAGAUAUCAGGAGGAACACCGGUGGCGAAGGCGGGUCUCUGGGCCGUAACUGACGCUGGAGGAGCGAAAGCAUGGGGAGCGAACAGG